rnacentral:tRNA from 1 species
GGUUGUGGUUCAGUGGUAGAGUGCUUGCCUAGCAUGUGUGAGGCCCUGGGUUCGAUCCUCAGCACCA